CAAUAGCGUCUAUUAAAGUUGUUGCAGUUAAAAAGCUCGUAGUUGAAUUUUUGCUUGCCGCCGAUGUCGGAACUUCCGUACGUUCGGCGGCGUGCAUCCUUGGGUGGAACCUGUGUGGCAUUAGGUUGUCGUGCAGGGGAUGCUCAUCGUUUACUGUGAAAAAAUUAGAGUGUUCAAAGCAGGCUUACGCCGUUGAAUAUAUUAGCAUGGAAUAAUAAGAUAGGACCUUGGUACUAUUUUGUUGGUUUGCGCACCGAGGUAAUGAUUAACAGGGACAGUUGGGGGUAUUCGUAUUCCAUUGUCAGAGGUGAAAUUCUUGGAUUUCUGGAAGACGAACUACUGCGAAAGCAUUUACCAAGGAUGUUUUCAUUAA
rnacentral:rRNA from 1 species